AUGGCCAAGGAGAAGACGGCGGCGCUGGAACGCGCGAAGAAGGCGUCGGCGACGGAGAAGGCGAAGGGGAGAUCCACCAGCCGUGGCGGGUCUUCGUCUAGAUCCCGCCUGCCGAAGGGCUGGGUCCAAGGAGAUUGGAUCCAGUCGACCAUCACGGAGAAAGAUCUCCUCGACAUGGCCAACGAGGGUCUGAUCCCUCAUGGAGCUGCGAGGCUUCCGGGGAAGGAGUGGCAGCCCCAGCCAGAAGAGGGUGAGUGCGUGCUCCUGGCUACCCAUGUCGACCGUGGAUUUUCUUUGCCGCCGAGUAUUUUCUUCCGUGGUUUCUUGAACUUCUUUGGAGCGCAGCUCCACCACUUUACCCCAAAUUCUAUCGCCUAUCUUGCCGCGUUCGUGUCCAUGUGUGAGGGUUUUCUGGGCUGUCGACCGCACUGGGGCUUGUUCAAGCAUAUAUUCACGUGUUGCUCUCAGACCGUGAAGAAGGCGAGCCCAGGCGACGAAAGAACCCGAGUUGUCCAAAUGUGUGGGGGCCUGGGGAUCCAGGUGAGGAAUAAGAGCACCUUCCCAGCCAUGACUUUUCCCGAGUCAGUCAGAGGCUGGCAGUCGACCUGGUUCUACUGCCAGGAUCAGUCGACGCCGGGGCAGUCGAGUGGACUCCCUCAGUUUACCAUGGACCGAGUGAACAAGCCCUCCUCUCUGAAGUUGAUUCCGGAGGAGAAAGCUGACGUGAAGAUGUUGAUGGAACGCGUGGUACAGUUGGUUCGGGAGGGAGUGACGGGCAUGGAUCUCCUGGAGGUUUUCCUUAGGCGUCGUAUCCAGCCCCUUCAGUUCCGAAGCCACUGCAUGUGGUUGUACUGUGGGACUGAAGACGAGACUCGAGUCCAUCCAGAAGCAGUCGACGAUGUCACUCUGGAGAGAUGGAUGGCCGCCGUUACCGGAAACAAGGAUAGCCCACGCGGAGCCAGAAGGAUUCCUCCACUCGACCACAACAGUGAUCCAAACAAGGCCCUCACCGAGCUGUACUCGAUGCCCAAUGGAGCACAGGCUCUGACUGAGGAGGGUGAGGCGAGUGGGGGCGAGAGCCAGGAGGAGGAGGAGUGGGACUCGGACGUUGCUGAGGAUGAUGAUGACGAUGACGACGAUGACGGUGAUGAAGAUGACGCUGAAGACGAGGAAGAAGAGGAGGAGGAGGUCGUACCACCGCGCUCAGAAAGGCGGUCGAAGCUUGUCCACGACCCUUCGACUGAACGUGGCAAGGGAGUUGCGACCGUUGCACAGUCGACCAAGCGCCCUCGGACCACCUCUCCGGUGCCGACUGAAAAGGCGCCGAAGCAGCCCAGGGCGGCUCCGUCAAAGCCGACCAAGCUCCUGCCGAAGAUGAAGGUGUCCAUCCCCACCAUAUCAGGUGCUGCUACUUCUGAGACCUCAGCCCGGGCUGAUGACCAUGAGAUGGAGGACGCAGCAACCUCAAAACCAGCUCCACCCAAUGUUGUUAUCACUCUCCCUGAUGAUGAUGAGGAUGAGGAAUCGCUGAAGCGCAGAAGGAGUAGGAAAGCGUCCGCCAGCAGGGUGCCCCAGGAUGUGACGGCGCCUGAGACUCUGAUUGCGGAGGAAGAGAACACCACUCGACAUACUGUGUCCUUCGCAGAUCCACUGACGAGUGCUCAGCAGCCCUCCCUCUUCACGACGCACCACGUCCCAGAGGACCAAGCUGGCGCCGCGAAGGAGGCGAUACGCCAGGCAGGGAUCAUGAUGGAGCAGUUAAGGACCAUCCGGGAUGCGAGCCAGGCAGCUUACGACACCAGUUCCGCCCUUCAAAGCAAUGUUCAGAACUCCUGUGAUCUUGUGGCUCGCUACUCUGAGCUGGAAAACAAGCACGUUCAGCUCGAGCUGAACUUGAAGCUGGUUCAGGAGAAACUGACGAAGGCAAAGAAGGAGACCGAAUGUAAGGUACGGGAGGCCCAACAGAAGAAAGACCUUGAACUAGCUGAGAAGAUCAAGCUUGCUGACGAGAAGUUAGCUUCAGUCACCAAGCUUGAACAAGACAAUACCAAUCUGAAAGCUGCUCUUGGGAUCGCCAACAAGGAGGUCAGUCAACUGAAAACUGAUAAAGCUGCCCUGACCGACCAAGUCAGUAAGUUGACUGGGAAGAAAAAUGAUCUGGAGGCCUUCCUGAGUGGUCUUGCCAAGAAGCUGUUUCUUAUGCUUGAAGUUCUGGAGUCUGAUGUACAGUAUAGGAUUUCGGAAUACAUGGAAAUUCUCAAGGAUAUAAACAACCUGAAGAUUCUAUUUAGUUCGAGCAAUUCUUAA
rnacentral:rRNA from 1 species